CCUAAACUUGUAGCAGUGACCUGGAGAACUGUGAGCGCCUGCUCCACAGGGAAUAAGGCAGUGUCCGGGGAACCGUUAGCUUCCCUCAGGGCAAUUAUUUACCCUUCACAUUAAAUUCUGCUCAAGUCACUUACAAUUCAUUUUCCAAACACAGGCCCAGCUACUUGGAUGUGAGCAAGAAAGCAAAAACAAAACAAAAUUUCAACUUCAUCUUGGUGACCGUGAUCAUUCCCGCCAAGUCUCCUGAAAACGAAUGUGGCACAGAAAAGGAGGAAAAUGUAAACUGGGCUGGAAUUAAGCUAUUACUUUCAUCCAUCAAGCGUCAGGAGCUCCCCAGCCUAGAAUUUACCUGGCUUUAAUAGUUUGUAAGGGGUUGACUUUGAUUCUGAACCCAAAUGCCACGCCCCUCCCCCAAAAAACCACACACACACAGGCAGACACACGAAUACAUGCACAUCGGCUUCUGUAAUGAUGCCAACACAGACAAGGAAGGGAAGUCAAGAUUGAGGGCAGGGAGAACGGUGGGGAUUAGAACAAGCCCAGCAGGUCGCGUCGACACAGCACUUCCUUCAAGCGCCGCCAGCUCUUGCAGAUGCCAUCUCGGUAAUCCCGCGUGGCGCUCUGCGCUCUGGCACCGCGACGAGGUGGUGCAGCCGGCGGUGAGGCUGGAACCUGAACCUCCGGCUCCUGACGCACAGGCCAUUGUCCUCAGCACUCAACCGCGCCACCUUCCUGUCAGGUGUCUGGUAAACAGGUCAACUGAUCUGCGAUUAGGGUGCCUCCAGCCUACGUGCAGAGUGGCUGGUGGAAUGCAGCCUUUCCUUAUUCAUAGGAAAUGUUUAAGCACGAAUCAGUGAAGCGAGGGGGAGGGGGGGUUCGAAUAUCGUCUUUCACUGGAGAAAACGGAGUCUGAGCGCCUGCUCAGGGGGGGUGCGACCUGAGCGGGAAGCCGAUGUCUCUGGGGACGCUGAGUGACAAGCCCCGGGACCCAGCGGCCGGCGAAAGAGGAAAACAAGUCGCACUGGUUAAAUUUUUUUUGUACUCUGAAAUGCCACUGCACAUUCCUUUUAAAAAAAGAAAGAAAGAGAAAGAAAAAGGUCUUGAGAAAUAAAAUGAUCGGCGUCAGAAUUGCGGGCUGGAAGGCAGACAAAGUGUAGCUUCUAGCCCGGGCCUGGGGGGUGCGCCUGGGGGGGCGGGCCUAGGGGCGCACCCCGUGGGGCCUGCGCUUCCCCAAGCCAUCGGGGGUGACGAGGUGGCGACUCCGACUUUGUGGCGGCUGUUUUCACGCAAGAACCGGCCCCCGCCCACCCGGCCUGCGCGCUGCGGUCCCGGGCGCAAGGGCCUUUCAGAGGCGCGGUCGGCAAAUGCAACGUCAGCUCUGGGGGAUCGCGCGCGAGUGGGGCGCGGGCGGCCCGCAGCGCCGCUCUUUCACAGCCCCAGGCCCGUGGGCGUCUGGCAGCCUCCGGGCCCCUCCCGGGGUGUCCCCGUGACCUCGGGUCCUCUCCAGAGAUGUCUGUGUAGCCUCCGGUCCCCUCCAGGGGCGUCCCCAUGGCCUCCGGUCCCCUCCAGGGGCGUCCCCAUGGCCUCCGGUCGCCUCCCCGGCCCCCCAGGGCUCCUGCAGCGUCCUGCGCUGGUGCAACUUGCUGGAAACCCAGAGGCAAGAUGAAACCCUGGAGGGAGAAACCCGGGAAGAAACCUGACCUAAUCUAGGAUGAAACACCUUCCACUGAGGAUAUUCAAAAGAACGCUCUGCCAAUUUUGAAGGCAAUUCCAAAAGGAAAUUGCUUUGAACAAUAGCGACGGAGUUGAAAUGAGUAUUUUGCCUACCCCGGUAACCUGCAUCGGAGGAUAUACCACUCAUCAAAAUAUGUAUGCUCUGUGAUAUUUGCAAAAGAAUCUGUCGCUUUAUUUUCUAUUCCUGCCUCUUUCAUCUAAAUAAAAUGCGUGUACAUUUGGAA